CCGCUGUUGGUGUACCGUGUGGCCUGACCACCAGGGGGAGAUGUGGAGCCAGGAGCUUACUGGACAGGACUACAACAUCAAAUCCCUGGAGUCAGACAGACAACGACACCUUCCCCCUAAUAGCUGGUGCUGUGAUUGGUGUCUUGGCUUCUGAUCUAUUGGCUAUUCAUCCAUGUGUAGUGGCCUGUCUCAUCUGCUGGAAGUGUUCCAAAGCUAUCUCAGGAUCAAAGAAUGAUUCCAGGUCAACAAAAUAUUCAGAUUUUGAAAUAACCAAGGCAAAGUGAAUGGAGAUUCGGAGAGAAGUGACCCCUAGGUGAUACUCUCCAACCCAGCUCCAACAUCCCUGGUUCUCUAGUUAUAUGUUGAAUGGUAUCAAGAGCAGGGCAUGCUGAUUGGCUGAAAGCAGUGGUAUUUCAGUAUACCAUGGGUCUGACUAAACAAUUAUUUUUACUGCUCUAAUUACAUUGGUAACCAG
rnacentral:lncRNA from 1 species